rnacentral:rRNA from 1 species
AGCAGUAGCCACGGUAAUACGUAGGGUGCGAGCGUUAAUCGGAAUUACUGGGCGUAAAGCGUGCGCAGGCGGUUGUGUAAGACAGGUGUGAAAUCCCCGGGCUUAACCUGGGAACUGCGCUUGUGACUGCACAGCUAGAGUAUGGCAGAGGGGGGUGGAAUUCCACGUGUAGCAGUGAAAUGCGUAGAGAUGUGGAGGAACACCGAUGGCGAAGGCAGCCCCCUGGGCCAAUACUGACGCUGAGGCACGAAAGCGUGGGGAGCAGACAGGAUUAGAUACCCCCGUAGUCCCUGUCUCUUAUAC